AGAAUGUGUCCUUCUCUUUGAAAAGAUUGCCUUGUACUCAGUCGCUUACCGCCUGAACCUACAUGUAGCCUGUGCUGGCACUAAUGAAAGUGGUGACUGAGAUGAGACAUCUUGUUUUGCAGAAUGCUGUUAUGAUGUUCUCUGACUCCCUUACCAGUGCCCAUGGUCUCCUUGCUCUUUGAGGUGACAAGCAGAGAUCAGAACCCAAUGUCCAGCCUCCACCAUGGGCAUGUGAUCCCUGAGGACUCAGGGCAGCUACCUCCUUCCUGAUGCCUGGUGUUUCUGCAGCCUAGAGGAAGAGCCUGGGGACAGAAGACUGGACCACUUUACCCCUGACACCGUCUUCCUGUCUCUGUGACUCCUGACUUCUGGAGAGUCCAGCAGACUCAGUAUGAGAAACUUGGGAUGGCUUGAAGACCUGAGGACCUGGAGGUCGUGACUGCUCAGUAAAGCUCUUCCUUCCCCUGGGCACAUUCCAGAGGGCACAUGCCUCUGUGCAGAAUGAUGCUGCAGGAGAUGGCCUUUGACUCCAUAACUCACAUGUGUGGUCACACCCCACCCUGGAGAUGCCCAUCAACAUCCAGGAAGAUGAGGUAUUAUGGGUCAUCUGUGUGCCUGUGCCUCAGGGGCUGCUGUCUCUGUUGCACAGGGAGACACAGACUGGCUUCAAGCAUAACCCAGCUCCAGACUCUUGCUUUGAUUAAGUAUCCUAAGCCUCCACCCUCUCCCUAGUGCAGUGGUGCUUCAUGCUUCUGACUGGGGGUAGGGUAAUUGCAAAGUGCCAUCAAACAGGUGCUUAGUAUUUUCUGGGCCAGCAAUUUGUCUAAUUGUCCUAUUGGGGAUCAUCAUUAUGUAACAUAACGUAAGCUGUACCACCACAGUUCCUUCUGAUGUUGUUCUUGUUUGUUGUUGUUUGACAGUCUCACUAGAGAGCUCUGGCUGGCCUUGAACUUGCAACAGUUUUCCUGCCUCUGGCUCCCCAGUGCUAGGAUGAAAGAUGUUCACCACUAGACCUGGUAGCCCUUAACUCUUAAAGAGAAUACUUUCCCUUUGGAUUGUUUCUAUAUUCAAAUAGGCUUUAAAAAACAUAUAAAGAAAAAAUUAGGCCAGAACUCAGGACAAACAUCAAUUAUAAGGAAUGUACACUAUUCCCUGGCAAGAGAUGCUGCCCCAUGCCCCAAGUUGGUUGUCUAGUCUUGUGGGGUUGACUCCAUUCUAACAGAGCCAUUAGGCUUCCUUAAUAAAUCCAGUCAAGGUCUUACUGUAAGGUCAGCUGCUGAGAUUAGGCUGUACCCUACAGAAAGUGAGUCCAGAUUAUAUAUUAGAAUGAGUUAAGACUGUAGGGACACGGGGGGGAGUAUAUCAGAAUCAUAUCAAGAAAACCAGGCCCAAGAACUUACAGACAUGCCAGAGAGAAAAAGAGUGUAACUACCUUGACUGGACCCCAUACAAAGAUGGACGCCUAACAGCAGGAUGGCAUGACCCCACCAAGCUGAUACCCACUGUGUGUCAGGGACAGACAGACAGACAGAAACUCUUGACUCUCUUUGGAACUUCAGUUAGCUCUAGCCCCAGCUCUUGAUAUAGCAUGCUUGACUGCCUGCCCAUCCAUUUGUUCACUUGAUUUGGAUAUGAACCCACUGUAUACUGCUCUGUCUGUUCUGCUCUUUCACCUAACAGCUAUCUGAAUUCCACCCUAAGCCUUGCUCUCAAACUUAACUCUUAGAAGACCUCUCUAAACUAACAGCUUGCUUGCAGCUGGUCUGGGUUCAUGCCCAUUAUCUAUAACAAAUUUUAUUAACAUUUCUAUCAAUCUACUUUUGAACUCUGCUAUAGCCUCUUUAACUUGUAUCCAUUAUAUAAACCACAUAUAUGGAGAUUGAAGGUAUAUUUACUGUACACUGUAUGAUAUAAGAGUUAAUAUUAGUAAUUAAAAUUAGGUAAAAGGACCUGCAUCUGCCUGGGCCAGAAUACCAAGGUAGAUGUGAUUAUCUGGCAAAUUGCCACU